rnacentral:rRNA from 1 species
CCUACGGGUGGCAGCAGUGGGGAAUAUUGGACAAUGGGGGGAACCCUGAUCCAGCGACGCCGCGGGAGGGAAGAAGGAUUUCGGGAUGUAAAGCUCUAUCGGCAGGGAAGAAAGAAAUGACGGUACCUGACUAAGAAGCCCCGGCUAACUACGUGCCAGCAGCCGCGGGAAUACGUAGGGGGCAAGCGUUAGCCGGAUUUACUGGGUGUAAAGGGAGCGUAGACUGCGAGGCAAGUCUGAAGUGAAAGGCGGGGGCCCAACCCCCGGACUUCUUUGGAAACUGUCUGGCUGGAGUGCAGGAGAGGUCAGUGGCAUUCCUUGUGUAGCGGUGACCUGCGUAGAUAUUAGGAGGCACACCAGUGGCGAAGGCGGCUUACUGGACUGUAACUGACGUUGCGGCUCGAAAGCGUGGGGAGCAAACAGGAUUAGAUACCCCUGUAGUC